UAGCUCAACUAUUAGGCUUCGGGGGAUACUGCCGAGACUUGGAACCGGGAGAGGUAAGAGGUACUACAGGGGUAGGAGUGAAAUCUUGGUAAUCCCUGUGGGACCGACCUGUGGCGAAGGCGUCUUACCAGAACGGGUUCGACGGUGAGGGACGAAAGCUGGGGGCACGAACCGGAUUAGAUACCCGGGUAGUCCCAGCCGUAAACGAUGCUCGCUAGGUGUCAGGCAUGGCGCGACCGUGUCUGGUGCCGCAGGGAAGCCGUGAAGCGAGCCACCUGGGAAGUACGGCCGCAAGGCUGAAACUUAAAGGAAUUGGCGGGGGAGCACAACAACGGGUGGAGCCCUGCGGUUUAAUUGGACUCAACGCCGGACACUCACCGGGGGCGACAGCAAUAUGUAGGCCAAGCUGAAGACUUUGCCUGAAUCGCUGAGGAGUGGUGCAUGG
rnacentral:rRNA from 1 species